rnacentral:rRNA from 1 species
CCUACGGGUGGCAGCAGUGAGGAAUAUUGGUCAAUGGCCGGAAGGCUGAACCAGCCAAGCCGCGUGAAGGACGAAGGUGCCAAGCAUUGUAAACUUCUUUUGUCAAGGGACAAAAUCAGGCUCGAGAGCCUGACCGCGGGUACUUGAAGAAAAAGCAUCGGCUAACUCCGCGCCAGCCGCCGCGGUAAUACGGGGGAUGCGAGCGUUAUCCGGAUUUAUUGGGUUUAAUGGGUGCGUAGGCGGGCGGUUAAGUCAGCGGUAAAAGCCCGGGGCUCAACCCCGGCGAGCCGUUGAAACUGGCUGUCUUGAGAUGUCGAGAGGUAUGCGGAAUGCGCAGUGUAGCGGUGGAAUGCUUAGAUAUUGCGCAGAACUCCGAUGGCGAAGGCAGCAGACCGGCGGCGAUCUGACGCUGAGGCACGAAAGCGUGGGUAUCGAACAGGAUUAGAUACCCCAGUAGUC